rnacentral:rRNA from 1 species
GAGAGGGUUGGUCGCGGAGAAGAGGAAGGAGAAGGAAGACAUGAGAGGGAGGUGUGUGUCUCUCUUCUUUGCAUGUCGGUGUGCAUGUCUUCUCUUUGUCGGGAGGGAGAAAGGGUAUUUAGGGUAGUCAAAGGUUUUGGCGUCGGGGAGUAACACGCGGAGGUGGAGGAGAAGGUGGGGCGUCUUUGCGUACGGAGAGGGAAGGAACAAGAGAGGUAUUGUGAGACGUUUAUUUGCCACGAGGUACCUGUGGCCACAAGCUGGGGCUACUUCCUCCGGUAAAGGUAAGUUUAGUAACGCGGUCUACUGUGAGGAGGUACGGCGUCGAGGUAGGUCUCUUCUUCCUUACACAAGGCAGCUAGUGUGUGCUUCUUAAAGUGUACGGGGAGAUGUGACAAGCAGGUCAAGUAGCGUGGUAAGGCAGUUUGAACCAUCACCGCUCCAACAAGUACCUGUCUUUGUCCAAUGGCUUCUUCCUGAGUUGUUGCUUCUCAAGGUAUUUCUACUUCCACUACUGAUGCUGUUGAUACCGCUAGGCAUCCUCACUCCAGUGCACCUGAUGUAGCUGACGAACACCGACUCUACCUCAGAGAUUCGUAAAAUGAAAGGCGAUAAAAGAGAUACAUUAUUUACAGUAGUCUGUAAAGUGAUCUAUACAGAACACUGUUUAUAUGAUUAACAUUAUAUAAAAGCAUAAGAC